GAGGAUGACAGGCAAAUGAGAGAAAAGAGUGAAAGAGAAAGAAAGUGAGGUAAGGGAAGAGGAGAGUGAGAAGUGAGAGAGAAAGAAAGAGUGAGAGAGAGAAAGAGUGAGAAAGUUGUAUAUUGAAAAUGCAGUAUUUCAGUCUGUUACACCAAAAACACAGCAGUGACUUUAUAAUGGGCUGCGACUUGAAGAGUGUGAGGUAUUAAGUGAACAUUAAAACAAAGUGUUUAACUGAAGAGGAGUUAAAACAGGAAAAUAAGGAUGAGCCUCAGAGCCAACAUGAACACACUGAUCAGGAACACAGGAUCAGCACUUUAAGGGUCCCACCGCAGUGACAAGAGGGGCACAGUGACAGUUUUACAUCUCUGUGUAGUGGAGCUAGAAGGGAAGUGGACCUCAUGAAGCAUCCAGCAAGUGGAACACAGGUCUGUGCAUUUCGGUGCUGAGAUGAGGACUUCCAUGCAGCGGGGUAACUGACGUCAGCAGGAUUCUGCCUCAUUCUCUGUUGGGUUAAAGAAGAACAAACUGAUCUAAAAAUCAAUUCCUGUUUUUCACACAUACUGAGAAGAACAGAGUCCCUGUACUCAUUCUCAUCCCAUCACUGAGCACUGGGCAAGAACAGACCUGAUCUCAGCACUCAUAUGAAUACACACACACACACACACACACACACACACACACACACACACACACACACACACACACACACACACACACACUCUCUUUGAUGCAUUAUAUAUCGCACUGAUGCUCUCACAAUGCACAAUACACAGUAACCUGUGCAGUAAUAUUGUCCAUUGAUCAUCUCUAUGUAUAUUUUCAGGCUUUCACUGCAAAACACAUUAUAGACCAUUUUCAAACCAUGUUAUUUUUUCAUUAUAUAUGUUGUUGGGAGUGGGCUCCACUCAUACCAGAAAUGUCAGUGCUAUA